GAUGAACGCUAGCGGCAGGCCUAACACAUGCAAGUCGAGCGGUAGGGACCUUCGGGUCCUGAGAGCGGCGCACGGGUGCGUAACGCGUAUGCAACCUGCCCUGUACAGGGGAAUAGCCCGUCGAAAGGCGGAUUAAUGCCCCAUGGCUCCUUCGAGAGGCAUCUCUUGGAGGGUAAAGAUUUAUCGGUACAGGAUGGGCAUGCGUGCCAUUGGCUGGACGGUGGGGUAACGGCCCACCGUGGCGACGAUGGCUAGGGGUUCUGAGAGGAAGGCCCCCCACACUGGGACUGAGACACGGCCCAGACUCCUACGGGAGGCAGCAGUGAGGAAUAUUGGUCAAUGGGCGGAAGCCUGAACCAGCCAUGCCGCGUGCGGGAAGAAGGCGCUACGCGUCGUAAACCGCUUUUGUCCGGGGGUAACCGCGGGGACGUGUCCCCGCCUGCAAGUACCGGACGAAUAAGGGUCGGCUAACUCCGUGCCAGCAGCCGCGGUAAUACGGAGGACCCGAGCGUUAUCCGGAUUCAUUGGGUUUAAAGGGUGCGCAGGCGGCCCGGUCAGUCAGCGGUGAAAUGCCCGCGCUUCACGCGGGAGCUGCCGUUGAUACUGCCGGGCUAGAAUCUCAGCGAGGCGGGCGGAAUGCGCGGUGUAGCGGUGAAAUGCAUAGAUAUCGCGCAGAACGCCGGUUGGGGAGCCAGCUCGCCAGUUGGGUAUUGACGCUGAGGCACGAAAGCGUGGGGAUCGAACAGGAUUAGAUACCCUGGUAGUCCACGCCGUAAACGAUGAUGGCUCGCUCUUGGCUGGAAACGGUCAGGGGCUUAGCGAAAGCGUUAAGCCAUCCACCUGGGGAGUACGCCGGCAACGGU
rnacentral:rRNA from 1 species